CCUACGGGAGGCAGCAGUGAGGAAUAUUGGUCAAUGGCCGGAAGGCUGAACCAGCCAUGCCGCGUGAAGGUCAGUGCCCUAUGGGCGUUAAACUUCUUUUGUGCGGGAGCAAUAAUGGUCACGUGUGGCCAGACGAGAGUACCGUACGUAUAAGCAUCGGCUGACUCCGUGCCAUCAGCCGCGGUAAUACGGGGGAUGCAAGCGUUGUCCGGAUUUAUUGGGUUGAAAGGGUGCGUAGGCUGUGAGGUAAGUCAGCGGUGAAAUGCCCCGGCUCAACGGGGUGAAGUGCCAUUGAUACUGCCUUGCUGGAAUGCGGAUGCGGUGGGAGGAAUGUGUGGUGUAGCGGUGAAAUGCGUAGAUAUCACACAGAACACCGAUUGCGAAGGCAUCUCACGAAUCCGCGAUUGACGCUGAUGCGCGAAAGCGUGGGUAGCAAACAGGAUUAGAUACCCGAGUAGUC
rnacentral:rRNA from 1 species